GCGUGCGUAGGCGGCUGAUUAAGUCGGAUGUGAAAUCCCUGAGCUUAACUUAGGAAUUGCAUUCGAUACUGGUCAGCUAGAGUAUGGGAGAGGAUGGUAGAAUUCCAGGUGUAGCGGUGAAAUGCGUAGAGAUCUGGAGGAAUACCGAUGGCGAAGGCAGCCAUCUGGCCUAAUACUGACGCUGAGGUACGAAAGCAUGGGGAGCAAACAGGAUUAGAUACCCUGGUAGUCCAUGCCGUAAACGAUGUCUACUAGCCGUUGGGGCCUUUGAGGCUUUAGUGGCGCAGCUAACGCGAUAAGUAGACCGCCUGGGGAGUACGGUCGCAAGACUAAAACUCAAAUGAAUUGACGGGGGCCCGCACAAGCGGUGGAGCAUGUGGUUUAAUUCGAUGCAACGCGAAGAACCUUACCUGGCCUUGACAUACUAGAAACUUUCCAGAGAUGGAUUGGUGCCUUCGGGAAUCUAGAUACAGGUGCUGCAUGGCUGUCGUCAGCUCGUGUCGUGAGAUGUUGGGUUAAGUCCCGCAACGAGCGCAACCCUUUUCCUUAUUUGCCAGCGAGUAAUGUCGGGAACUUUAAGGAUACUGCCAGUGACAAACUGGAGGAAGGCGGGGACGACGUCAAGUCAUCAUGGCCCUUACGGCCAGNGCUACACACGUGCUACAAUGGUCGGUACAAAGGGUUGCUACNUAGCGAUAGGAUGCUAAUCUC
rnacentral:rRNA from 1 species